CCCCCCACCCACUCGGACUCGGGUCCCGUGGGGACAGCCCAGAGCUCUUCCUGCCUGUCCCUGGGUGACCUGGUUUCCCGGCUGAGGUCGGCCCUCUGACCCCAGACCCCUCACCUCCCAAAAUACCCUCUCAGCAGCCUCUUCCCCCGUUCAAGGCUUCCUGUACUCUCUGGAAAGCUGAAGGACACGGGUUCGUGUCCUGACGCUGCCGCUUUGAACCAGUAGCCUAGCAGCUGCUUUGUGCCUAAAUUGUCUUCAUCUGGAAAAUGGGUUCAAUCUAUAAGUGCUUACCGCAGAAGGUCACUGUGAAUAUUGAAACGAGGUAUCUCCCAGGAGUCUUCCAAGGUUCUCAACACCAAUGGGACCAGUGGGUUUCUCCCAGGUGGCUACACCUGCUUUCCCCACUCUCAGCCCUGGCAGGCAGCCCUACUAGUGCGAGGGCGGCUACUCUGUGGGGGAGUCCUGGUCCACCCCAAAUGGGUCCUCACUGCCGCACACUGUCUGAAGGAGGGGCUCAAAGUUUACCUAGGCAAGCAUGCCCUAGGGCGUGUGGAAGCUGGUGAGCAGGUGAGGGAAGUUGUCUACUCUAUCCCCCACCCUGAAUACCGGAGAAGCCCCACCCACCUGAACCACGACCAUGACAUCAUGCUUCUGGAGCUGCAGUCCCCGGUCCAGCUCACAGGCUACAUCCAAACCCUGUCCCUUUCCCACAACAACCGCCUAACCCCUGGCACCACCUGUCGGGUGUCUGGCUGGGGCACCACCACCAGCCCCCAGGGUAUGCACCCACACAGGUGGCCUGAGGCCCCACAGGAGUGGCUGGGGAAACAGGGGCGAGAUGGGAGGGAAGGUCUGAGUGAAUUACCCCAAAACUCUACAAUGUGCCAACAUCCAACUUCGCUCAGAUGAGGAGUGUCGCCAAGUCUACCCAGGAAAGAUCACUGACAACAUGUUGUGUGCCGGCACCAAAGAGGGUGGCAAAGACUCCUGUGAGGGUGACUCUGGGGGCCCCCUGGUCUGUAACAGAACACUGUAUGGCAUCAUCUCCUGGGGAGACUUCCCAUGUGGGCAGCCUGACCGGCCUGGUGUCUACACCCGUGUCUCAAGAUACGUCCUGUGGAUCCGUGAAACAAUCCGAAAAUAUGAAACCCAGCAGCAAAAAUGGUUGAAGGGCCCACAAUAAAAGUUGUGAAAUAUACUGGCUUCCAUCCUUUCACCAUGAAUUCCUCAUAUUGUCUGCUUAGCCCUUCUCUGCUCCUUAUUCCCAGUGUUCAUUUGAACCAGUGAUCCAUGUCCUGAAAAAUGUUCAAUCCCAGUUGACAUUCCAUGUUUCAGAAGCAUUCAGGCACUGCCAGGCUUGCAGUCUCCCAGAUGUUGCAUCCCAGAAACAUCUCAACAACCUGAAUGUCCCAACCCAGACAAUGGCCCAGGUCUCUCAACUGCAUCAGCAUGGCUUCUAUGAGCCCACAUCACCACCUGAAUGUUCUGUCUGUGGCACAUUCUUAAAUAUUUCUGUGAGCCCAUCUCAACAAUAUAUGUCCUAUAAAUGGACCAUCCUUGACAACAUCCUCUAACUCUUCAAGUAUUUAUUCAAUGCCAGUAUCCUAGACCUUCUAUUUUUUGCACUCAAGAAGGCUCUAGACUCCCAUGAUAGUUCAUCCUGAAAAUAUUAUCUUAUGCCCACAAUCUUCUGCCCUGACAACAUUCUAUGUACCUCUGUGACUCACCACAGCUAACAUUGGAUCCUCAGAAUGGUUCAUUCUCACACUGUUAUGGUUGUCUCAGAUGUCCCAACCCAACCUACAUCCCACAUUCUUCCAAUACUCCACCUCUGCCAACAUUCCCUCUCUCUGAAUCAAUGGCACCCUAAGUCUCUAGAGUUAUGGGGUUCAAUAUGCCAAAGGGUCUCCUUGCCUGAGCUAUAUUGUCUACCAAAUAUUCUGUCCUGUAUCCCCGCCAUGAACUUCCUUGUUCAGUGUCCCUUGCUGUUACAUCUUUGUCCACGACCCUAAAAUGUAGUGCAAAUCCUUGCUUUGGACAAGUUAUAAAACUCACAGUCUCUGUGCUUUCUCAUCUAUAAAAUGGGUUCAUGAUUUUUGGUAAUUGUAGCAUUAUUACAAGGAUAAAUGUCAAGCAUUUAUCA